rnacentral:rRNA from 1 species
AACGAACGCUGGCGGCGUGGAUAAGACAUGCAAGUCGAGCGAGAUUUUUCGUUGUAGCAAUACAGUGGAAAGUCUAGUGGCGAACGGGUGCUUAACGCGUGGGCAAUCUGCCUUAAAGUGGGGGAUAGCUCGGCGAAAGCCGGAUUAAUACCGCAUGUGGCCAGGGAAGACAUCUUCCUGACGCUAAAGUCGGGGCAACCUGACGCUUUUUGAGGAGCCCGCGGCCUAUCAGCUAGUUGGUGAGGUAACGGCCCACCAAGGCUUUGACGGGUAGCUGGUCUGAGAGGACGACCAGCCACACGGGGACUGAGACACGGCCCAGACACCUACGGGUGGCAGCGGUCGAGAAUUUUUCUCAAUGGGGGAAACCCUGAAGGAGCGACGCCGCGUGGAGGAUGAAGGUCUUCGGAUUGUAAACUCCUGUCAUUGGGGAACAAUGUCCCGCCAUUAACUGUGGCAGGAUUGAUAGUACCCGAAGAGGAAGAGACGGCUAACUCUGUGCCAGCCGCCGCGGUAAUAC